GUGCUCACUCGGCAGCACAUAUACUAAAAAUUGGAACGAUACAGAGAAAAUUAGCAUGGCCCCUGAGCAAGGAUGACACACAAAUUUGUGAAGCGUUCCAUAUUUUU